rnacentral:rRNA from 1 species
CAGCCGCCGCGGGAAUACAGAGGAUGCAAGCGUUAUCCGGAAUGAUUGGGCGUAAAGCGUCUGUAGGUGGCUUUUCAAGUCCGCCGUCAAAUCCCAGGGCUAAACCCUGGACAGGCGAUGGAAACUACCAAGCUGGAGUAUGGUAGGGGCAGAGGGAAUUUCCGGUGGAGAGGUGAAAUGCGUUGAGACCAGAAAGACUCCAACGGCGAAAGCACUCUGCUGGGCCGACACUGACACUAAGAGAUGAAAGCCAGGGGAGAAAAUGGGAUUAGAUACCCCCGUAGUCCCUGUCUCUUAUACC